UACAGAGGUCUCAAGCGUUGUUCGGAUUCAUUGGGCGUAAAGGGUGCGUGGGCGGCGCGGUAAGUCGGGUGUGAAAUCUUGGAGCUUAACUCCGAAACUGCAUUCGAUACUGCCGUGCUUGAGGACUGGAGAGGAGACUGGAAUUUACGGUGUAGCGGUGAAAUGCGUAGAUAUCGUAAGGAAGACCAGUGGCGAAGGCGGGUCUCUGGACAGUCCUGACGCUGAGGCACGAAGGCCAGGGGGAGCAAACGGG
rnacentral:rRNA from 1 species